rnacentral:rRNA from 1 species
UACAGAGGGUGCAAGCGUUAAUCGGAAUUACUGGGCGUAAAGCGUGCGUAGACGGUCUCGUAAGUCGGGUGUGAAAGCCCCGGGCUCAACCUGGGAAUUGCAUUCGAAACUGCGAGGCUAGGGUGCGGAAGAGGGAAGCGGAAUUUCGGGUGUAGCGGUGAAAUGCGUAGAUAUCCGAAGGAACAUCAGUGGCGAAAGCGGCUUCCUGGUCCAGCACCGACGUUCAGGCACGAAAGCGUGGGGAGCAAACAGG